rnacentral:rRNA from 1 species
UAGACGAACUGCCGUGACAAACCGGAGGAAGGUGGGGAUGACGUCAAGUCCUCAUGGCCCUUAUGGUAGGGCUUCACACGUCAUACAAUGGUCGGUACAGAGGGUUGCCAAGCCGCGAGGCGGAGCCAAUCCCACAAAGCCGAUCGUAGUCCGGAUUGUUCUCUGCAACUCGAGAGCAUGAAGUCGGAAUCGCUAGUAAUCGCAGGUCAGCAUACUGCGGUGAAUACGUUCCCGGGUCUU